CAGCGGGAGACACCAUUGCAAAAUGCUGGCGCAUGUCUUCUGCUGCUUUUGAUCCGGGAGAUUCCACGGGCUACAGGCCAUGGCGGAAAAGUGGUGUUACGAAGCGAAAAUUAUUUGUCUUGGCUUUUGAAUUAUUCCAACAGUGUUGAACGAAGCAAAGCAGAUAAUCAGUCUGUGCUCUGCGGGCUACUUCGUAGAAAAAAUAUAAAACGUUAGGAGUCAUUGUGCACGUUUUGUGAGAACAGAUGUAAGCUCAAGUCUGCGGCGAGACAGGCUGAUUGCUCGAAAAUCGUAAGGUGUGUGUUUGUGCGACUUCAUCGUUCAAAAUGAGCUCAGCCCACGGAGGAAGAAGAAGGCCGCUUACCAGGACAACCUCUUCGUCGGAAGACCAAGCUUUGAAUCAAAUUGCUCGUGAGGCUGAAGCACGUCUUGCCGCUAAGAGAGCAGCCAGAGCUGAGGCGAGAAGUAUUCGUCUGAAAGAGCUUGAACGCCAGCAACAGGAAGGAGAAAAUGUAUGUCCACAUAGCCAACAAUGAGUUUAGUUGCUUUAUUUACAUUAUCUACUGCAGAAAGGUGCUGUAAAUUUGGUCACUCUAGAACCAGUAGUUACAAAGAACGUACAAGUCACAAGUCCCAGGGAGUUACUCGUGAAGUUACCUCUUUAUUCCCAUUUCCCUCAGUCUCUAACCCUACCAUAUCUCCAACGGGAUCCUGUAUCAACCCCUUCACUACCCCCACAUUAACCAUACUUCAACAAGAUUUUAUCUCUUUUGUACUCUCCUAGAUUUAAAUACCUGCUGUCUCUGUCUUUAUAGUCCAUCUUCAUCUCCAUUACAGGGCUGUCAAUAAGGGCCAUAACCUGUAGCAUCUGUUACGGCUGAGCAUGCUUGAUGGCCCUCUUUUGUUACGGGUGAACUUGGUAGUUGAUACAAUUCACCCAUAACGUAACAAAUUUGUUACGGGUUUGAAGAUCAAGGCUAAAGGUGAAUCAAAACUGAAUGACAGCCCUGCAUUAGGCUAUGCAAGAAAUUUCCCCAUAUUUGUUAGUCAGAUAAAUGAUUGGUUUGAUUUGAUUAGACUCCCCCUUCUCCUUUGAUGAAAAUACACUAG